rnacentral:rRNA from 1 species
GACGAACGCUGGCGGCGUGCCUAAUACAUGCCAGUCGAACGCAGUGGGGACGGGUGAGUAACACGUGGGUAACCUCCCAUCAGAGGGGAUAACACUUGGAAACAGGUGCUAAACCCAUACUGAUGGAUGGACCCGCGGUGCAUGAGCUAGUUGGUGAGGUAAAGGCUCCCCAAGGCCACGAUGCAUAGCCGACCUGAGAGGUUGAUAGGCAACGCUGUGACAUAGACACGGCCAAGACUCCUACGGAAGGCAGCAGUAGGGAAUCUUAGGAAAUGGACGAAAGUCUGACCGAGCAACGCCGCGUGAGGGAAGAAGGUUUUCGGAUCGUAAAACUCUGUUGUUAGAGAAGCGGUAUCUAACCAGAAAGCCACGGCUAACUACGUGCCAGCAGCCGCGGUAAUAC